UUAGACUAGAUGGCAGGGGGAAGGUUUUUACUGAGAGAGUGGUGAGGUGCUGGAACAGUUUGCCCAGAGAGGCUGUGGAUUCUCUGUCUCUGGUGGUGUUUAAGGCCAGGCUGAAUGUGGCCCUGUGCAAUCUGAUCUAAUAUCUAAUAUUUAUUCUAACGGUUGUCAGCCCUGCUUUUGGCAGGAGGUUGGAGCUUGAUGAUCUUUGAGGCCCCUUCCAACACAAGCCAUUCUAUGAUUCUACGAUUCUAAAAAAAUUUUCACUCAAGUUCUUAUCCAGAAACAUAAUACAACCACUGGACAUAAUACAACCACAUAAACGACUCCUUACUUCAUUAUUAUUAUUAUUAUUAUUGUCUUUUCUUUAUCUCUCUGCUAUAUGGAGCAGAUAAAUGUACAGUACUUGGCAUCAUGUUUAUCACCACAAAUGAGAUCUCAUGGGUGAAUAACAACAUAUGUAAGGAUCUCAUUUUUUCCUCUUAUUCCCUAGUGUAGAGGUCACACAACAGUUUAGUUCCAUGUGACUCACUAGUUAGCUGAGUAUAAAAUCUGGCAUCCUCAGUAUGUUAUAUCAUUGAGUUUUAACUCAACAGAAGUUUUUUUUUCUUAUAUAGGUCAAAGUUAAUUCAUUCUUUGUCCUCAGUGUUGUGUCUGUAUUGCACUUUUAAAUGACUUAAGUGCAAAAAACGUUAGACUUAUUCCCCUGGAUGACACAUCUAUUCUCUGUUUAGCUAGCCACUAGAAGGAAGUAGUUCUUUUUUUUUGGUGCAAAUUGACCAGACAGCCUAUAGCUAAAUGAGUUUUUCUUCUAAUUUAACUUUUGGGGUGUACUUCUCUUAUCUUCAUCAGAUAUCUCAGACAUUAGACACCCUGUGAAAUUUUGUAACUUUUAUUAAAAGUAAAUAGCUGUAAAUAGGUACUAAGUUAAGUUUCAAUAAUGCAAAAGAAUAGUUCACUUUAAAACAUGCACAGGCUAAUGUGAAAUGGGAAAGAUGCUGCAGAAUAGAAGUUCUGUUAAAUAAUGGCUACUUUUCCUAUGAAAGCUAAUCGAUACAAAGUGAAACCAGAAUGUAAAGGUCCAACUCUAUGGGUAUUUUCCAUAUUGGUCAUAAGAACUCUUGCCAGUAGGCCUUUGAGUAAUCAUUUUGAAACCUUUUAAAACACUGAAGCACUGGUGUUGCUACAGCAUGCCACUAUGCAAUUUAGCUCUUCAGAUCUAAAUUUAAAAUAAAUAAAUAAAUAAAAAUGGGUACCUGCAGUAGCGCUCAGUAACUAGUGGAGACCAAGGCAAUGAAGAAGUCCAAAACUAAAAGGAACAACACCUUAGAUACUGUACUUGGUAAAAAAAAAAAAAAAAAAAAAAAAAAAAAAAAAAAAAACAGGUAAAGCACCCUGUUCUAAAAACUUGCAGUAUUUUACAGUAUAUUAAAACAGUGGUGGAGUUGGGCAAUGAAGCCUUUUCAGUUCUCAGAAAAUUCUUCCAAAGUUCUUUGCAAAGCAUUCUGAGAAAAUAGCACUAAGCAAUAUUUCAGAAGAGUGUUUUUGGUGGAAUAAACUUUCAUCACAUCAGAAAUGUCACAUUUCUCUUUUGUUCUUGCAGCACAAUUGAGAAAAAUAAUAAAAAGAGAGAAAAGUAGAAUGAAUCUCUGUGAUCGUACUGCAAGACAAUUCUAGGUAAAAAAAAUAAAUUGAUGAAGAACCUGUGAACUGUAUUUUGAAGAGAAAAAGAACUAUUACUGCAUACUAGUGAUUGCUAGAACUGUGCAGGCAAAAAGUGCUGAAAUAUCCACCCUCAAUAUUAUUUUGAUCAAGUAAGAAAAAGGCAGAAAACUUAUAUGCUGUUUGGACAACAGCUGACAUAAAACUGUGUGAAGCAGUUCUGUUAAAUGAAAACUGCAGUUACUUAAUUUGGGAAAGAAUUUUCUGACAUUUUAACACUACAGCAGAGAUCAUGCAGGCAUGGUAUUAAUCACAUUAGAGUGGUAACUACCAGAUAGAAACAGAACUACAACGUUUCCUGUGCACUUACAAUGAGGCACUAAUGGAGUUUUAUCUGACCCUACCAACUACUCAAGCUGUGUGUGCCCUAAUACAGCUCAUAACAAAGAUCAUUUCAUGUAAUUUAUUUAAACCAUUGCCAACUUAAGAACAUUUCCUAGCUUGUUUUCUAGUCUAUGUUUAAGAGAAAGGAACCCUAUUGCUACAGAAGACCUACUGUGUAGGUAAGACUUACUUGAGAUAUCCCUACGGCAUUUAUAUUAUAUCAGCCUUAACUGAUUACUCAAUUUUAACUAGCAGUAUCAGCCAAAACAAUUUUGUGUUGUCACUUGUAGCUGUGUAAAGGAGAAAGGAAGUUAUAAAUGCUCUGUGAAAAUGUAGUCUAGCUAAGAAUCACCUCAGUUUGAUACACUUGUGGAACAGCUAGGCAUGGACUUCAGUGAUUUUUUCAUCAAAAGCAAAAAAGGAGAGAAGAUUUUUCUUUUGCAGUGAAAUUUCCUUUGAAUUUUUGCAGUAAAUUUCUCUCUCUGAAAAAUUAAAACAACACAAUUCAGCAGUGCUUUCUGAAGGUGUUACUUUGCUAUCCCCUCAGACUUCCUCCAUUAGAAUGAUUAGCACAAAUGGAUGAGUAGUUCCUUUGUUCUUGAGGGCUCUGGUAUUGUUUCCUUUUCCUUCUAUUACCAGCAUGUUUUUUUACUUCAACACAUCUAAAUUACUUCUUCCUCCCUGUGUAAUCUAACCCAUGCCUAUUCUUUUUCCAGUCCAAUUAAUUUUGAAUAAAUCAAGUCUGUGUAAUUUUCCUUAUGGAAAAGCUUGAAUCCAUUAGAAUCUAUUAAAACUAUCUGUGAUCUCUUGUCAGGAUAUAAUACCCUCCCUCACGUAUCAAGAGAUAAGGCUAGUUAAACCACUAAUUUUUUACAGGAUAGGACUCAAUUUAUUUACCAAAGUUGAAUGUUCCCUGUUAUUUUUUUGUUUUCACAAAUGAGUUCCUUAGAUAUUCUAAGUUAAUGUUUAUUAACUUUUUUUUUUUUUUUCCUAUCAUGACAGAAACAACUACUAAAGCUUAAAUGAGAAACUUUGUGGAAAAUUGAGAAAAUGAAUCUAAACAAAUCUUUUGAAACUUCUUCUGUCUAUAUGAAUAGGUAACAAAAUAGCAAACAUUUUCUUUUGCUAUUAGUUGUAAUAUUUUUCAGGUACUGAUCCAAAAUGAGAAGAAAGGAAAUGAUGUAAUUCAUGUUCCCAGCUUGCUGCAAAACAAGAAGGCUUUUUUCUCAUCUUUUUAAUAAUUAUUAUUUUAUUUUUCGACAUCUAGGGGGAAAUUUAUUCCUGGGCAGUGCACCAGCACAAGACUUAUGCACCACUUAGCAUGAAGUUUAAGCAAUAUAUGAGACAUACAGGCAUCCUGAGAUAAGGAGAAGAAUGGAGAAUUGCAUUCUUAUGGAAUUAGUGCUUCAAUAUUAAAUCUGUUUUAAAAUGCUAUGCAAGCAAUCUACAUAGAUCCUGAGUUGGACAAGACUGGCCUCCUCUGAAAGUAUGAUAAAAAAUUUUAGACACAUUUAACUUGAUUUUUACUUUACUACCUCAUUCUGGUAAUAGAAAUACUACCCAAAUUCCUGGAAACUGAUUGCUGUGAAAUAAAAUAUCUUUGUAAAACUCUA